UACAGAGGGUGCGAGCGUUGUUCGGAAUUAUUGGGCGUAAAGGGCGCGUAGGCGGUGCGGCAAGUCACCUGUGAAACCUCUGGGCUUAACCCAGAGCCUGCAGGCGAAACUGCCGUGCUGGAGUGUGGGAGAGGUGCGUGGAAUUCCUGGUGUAGCGGUGAAAUGCGCAGAUAUCAGGAGGAACACCAAUUGCGAAGGCAGCUCGCUGGGACGUUACUGACGCUGAGACGCGAAAGCGUGGGGAGCAAACAGG
rnacentral:rRNA from 1 species